rnacentral:rRNA from 1 species
GAUGAACGCUGGCGGUAUGCUUAACACAUGCAAGUCGAACGAAGAUUUUUAAUCUUAGUGGCGGACGGGUGAGUAACGCGUGAGAAUCUGCCCUUAGGAAGAGGAUAACAGCUGGAAACGGUUGCUAAUACUCUAUACGCCGAGAGGUAAAAGGAAAUAUCCACCUUAGGAAGAGCUCGCGUCUGAUUAGCUUGUUGGUGAGGUAAUGGCUCACCAAGGCGACGAUCAGUAGCUGGUUUGAGAGGACGACCAGCCACACUGGGACUGAGACACGGCCCAGACUCCUACGGGGGGCAGCAGUGGGGAAUUUUCCUCAAUGGGCGAAAGCCUGACGGAGCAAUACCGCGUGAGGGAUGAAAGCCUGUGGGUUGUAAACCUCUUUUCUCAAGGAAGAAAUUUUGACGGUACUUGAGGAAUAAGCAUCGGCUAACUCUGUGCCAGCCGCCGCCGCGG